AGAGUUUGAUCAUGGCUCAGAAUCAACGCNNGGCGGCGCGCCUAACACAUGCAAGUCGAACGAGAAAGCAGGAGCAAUCUUGUGAGUAAAGUGGCGUACGGGUGAGUAACACGUGGAUCAUCUACCCUCUUGUGGGGGAUAACUCUGGGAAACCGGAGCUAAUCCGCAUAAGUCCGAGAGGAGAAAGCAGCAAUGCGCAGGAGGAGGAGUCCGCGGCCGAUUAGCUAGUUGGUAGGGUAAAAGCCUACCAAGGCUACGAUCGGUANNCGGCCUGAGAGGGCACACGCCACACUGGCACUGAAACACGGGCCAGACUCCUACGGGAGGCAGCAGUGGGGAAUCUUGCACAAUGGGGGCAACCCUGAUGCAGGACGCCGCGUGAGCGAUGAAGCCCUUCGGGGUGUAAAGCUCUUUCGGCAGGGAAGAUUAUGACGGUACCUGCAGAAGCAGCUGCGGCUAACUACGUGCCAGCAGCCGCGGUAAUACGUAGGCAGCAAGCGUUGUUCGGAGUUACUGGGCGUAAAGGGUGUGUAGGCGGUCUUCUAAGUUUGGUGUGAAAUCUCCCGGCUCAACUGGGAGGGUGCGCCGAAAACUGGGAGGCUAGAGUGCGGGAUGGGAGAGUGGAAUUCCUGGUGUAGCGGUGAAAUGCGUAGAUAUCAGGAGGAACACCUGUGGUGUAGACGGCUCUCUGGACCGCACUGACGCUGAGACACGAAAGCGUGGGUAGCAAACAGGAUUAGAUACCCUAGUAGUCC
rnacentral:rRNA from 1 species